GAGCGCACCCUUGUCGUUAGUUGCCAGCGGUCCGGCCGGGUACUUUAGCGAAACAGCCGGUGACAAGCCGGAGGAAGGUGGGGACGACGUCAAGUCAUCAUGGCCCUUACGAGCAGGGCUACACACGUCAUACAAUAGGCCGGUACAACGAGUCGCUAAGCCGCGAGGUGGAGCCAAUCUCAAAAAGCCGGUCGUAGUCCGGAUCGCAGUCUGCAACUCGACUGCGUGAAGUCGGAAUCGCUAGUAAUCGCGGAUCAGCAUGCCGCGGUGAAUACGUUCCCGGGUCUUGCACACACCGCCCGU
rnacentral:rRNA from 1 species